AUUGAACGCUGGCGGCAUGCCUUACACAUGCAAGUCGAACGGCAGCACGGGAGCAAUCCUGGUGGCGAGUGGCGAACGGGUGAGUAAUAUAUCGGAACGUGCCCGGUCGUGGGGAUAACGUAGCGAAAGCUACGCUAAUACCGCAUACGAUCUACGGAUGAAAGCGGGGGAUCGCAAGACCUCGCGCGAUUGGAGCGGCCGAUAUCAGAUUAGGUAGUUGGUGAGGUAAAGGCUCACUAAGCCGACGAUCUGUAGCUGGUCUGAGAGGACGACCAGCCACACUGGGACUGAGACACGGCCCAGACUCCUACGGGAGGCAGCAGUGGGGAAUUUUGGACAAUGGGCGCAAGCCUGAUCCAGCAAUGCCGCGUGCAGGAUGAAGGCCUC
rnacentral:rRNA from 1 species